UUCGGUUCGGUUUAAAUGGUUUUGGAAACUAUAAAACCAAACAAAAAAAAAAUCAAUUUUCUAAAUUUCAAAACCAAACCGAUUGAGGUGGUCUACGAAACCAAAUCAAAUUUUUCGGUUAAGUUUGGUUUUUUCUACACCCAUACUCUCUCUCAAGUAAAAAAUCAUUUUUAUGGUCUGAAGCUUCUUGACAUAUAGGCCACACCAAACAUAUGAAAAAGAACAAUCAUAGCAAGAUUGCCCAACCAAAGUUUAUUAAGAUACAGACUGCAGCAUAACAAGCAAAACCUAUCCAAUUAGGUAGACAAAUAAGGGCGAACAAAAGCCGCGGCAAUCCAAUAUAAGAGUAGUUUGCGGUGAAAUUGCCAAUAAUUAUUUGGACCUUAAGGAGAAUAUGCCUAUCUAGGGAAAAACGUGGUGAGAUCACAGGCUAGUGGUCAAGCUUCAAGAUUCAGAACUGAACUUGACGAUAAAAUUCUGGCGACUGAUCGGGUUUCAUGACACUGGGG
rnacentral:lncRNA from 1 species